CUUUUACUAGUAGCUACUAAAAAGUUGCUCUACGAUGUUGACUACAAAAACAUGUUUUAGCCUUUUAGGCAAAAGUGAAUGCUAAAAUAAAAGGGUGGAAAUGAACGAAAUCAACUAAUGAUUAAAAGGACCAUGGAUACUUUCUAUACUAAGGAGCUCUCUUAUGGACCAAGAAGCAGACAGAAAGAAAUUGGAGUAAAAAGAGUAAACUGUAAACGUCAGUGCCAGGCACUGUUAAUUGCUUUCCAUUCUAUAUCCAUUUCAGGAUUUGAUAAUCAAUUUAAAAAUGCAGGUUCACAAAAGAAUGAGGCAUCAUUAAGAAAAGUAGAGUUUAGCAACCAAUCAGGAAAGCAAAGAAAAUUAUACUUUAGGAGGAUACGGUGUUGAAGCACCAAGCAUACGUCCAAAAACAGUACAUCAACAGUUGCUUGCUGGCCAUGGAUAGGGGUUCUCACCAAGACAGCAAAUCCAACGUAAGUGACAAACAAAGAAUUGCUCACAAAUUUCAAUAAUUCAUUAAGCACACAAGUUGAAAGCGUUCAUGCUAUAAUUACAAUAAUAAACAAGAAGCUAUGUUUCUAAUCCUACCCAGUGCCAUAAGAAAAAUCUAAAUUUGCAUGAAAGGAAAUGCAGAAGUAAUCAUUUUGGCAUACCUUGCGUGGAAAAGAAUUGUU
rnacentral:misc_RNA from 1 species